UGAGUAACCUGCCCUUCACUCUGGGAUAACUCCGGGAAACCGGGGCUAAUACUGGAUAUGACUCGAACAGGCAUCUGUUUCGGGUGGAAAGAUUUUAUUGGUGGAGGAUGGACUCGCGGCCUAUCAGCUUGUUGGUGAGGUAAUGGCUCACCAAGGCGACGACGGGUAGCCGGCCUGAGGAGGGCGAUCGGCCACACUGGGACUGAGACACGGCCCAGACUCCUACGGGAGCA
rnacentral:rRNA from 1 species